UAAUUUGGAAUUACUAAAGAUGAUGAGUAGUAUAACAGACAGAAAGAGUCAGCUGAUGUAGGUUCUAGUUUCAGCUCUGUAUUAGUUUCCUACUGCUGCUGUAACAAAUUAACACAAAUUUAAGGGCUUAAAACGAUACAUUUUUAAUACUACAAUUCUAUAUUUCUUUUCUUUUUUUUUUUUUUUUCAUUCUAACUUUACUAACUAGCCUUCAGUCACUGCAAUUCUUAACCAAUAAUUAACCUUACUUCAACAAUAAUUAACCAUGACAGAAAAAGCGUAGCAGGAAUAGUUAGAGUGAGGGGGUGGAGAGUAGUACACGUUUUCUU
rnacentral:lncRNA from 10 species